UGUAGGAAAUUGUUGUUGUUGAGACAAAACCGGUUUCUUAGUGCUGGAGUUUGUAGGAACAGAACAAUCUGUUGAUAAGCAGGAAGAUGUGCAGGGAAUCUGUUCAAAGUUCAGAAUAAAAUGUGUCCCUGUUCGGGUGAAUUUGGUCCAAAUAACCAGGAUGGUCACCAAACUGUCCACUGGGGGGCGCUGACAGGAAGUUAAUGGAUCCAACCUGCAGAUAGUGAUUCAACCGCUACAGGUAUAAAACAGGGUCUGAAAGCCUGAGCGGGGGUCGGAUGUGAUUCAUGUUUGUCCCUGUUUGUGUUUAGAUGGCUGCCCUGAACACUGAACUCAAACAGAUCUUGGACAACAAAGAGAGACGGUGUCCAAGAUCAACAGACUGAGUCACACGGAGGUGACGUCAGAGCAACCGAGCUGCAGGUUGAACCUGUUGCAGCCUGCCGCCUUUUCAUGAUGCAGCGUUUUGUUUAGAGGACGUCGAUGUGUUUCCUGCACAAUCCGUACCAGAUCACGUUGCUGCUGAUCGGAGCUGGAGCGCCGCCCGGGAUCACCGCCACACAUUCCUGCAGGAGGCGUCAGCGCCGGAGCUUCCUGCAGAUUCGUUUCUGUUCAUGGAGAAACCAGGAUUUCAGGCAGAGGGCAGAAACUUCAGAGGGGAAACCCCGCCUGACUUCCUGCCGCCCCGUUCUUCUUCUUCUUCUUCUGCUGCUGCUGCUGCUGUGGGAAAAUGACUCUGUGAAACUGACUGUGAUGGUGGAGCUGAAACUGGUAAAGUGGAGCCGAUAAAUGUUGUAUAAAACGGGGUUUGCCUUGUUUUAGCUGGCAGAGGAGCGCCAACAUCUGCUUUUUGUUACGACUCUUAUUCUAACCUUCAGAGCUCGUUUUGGCCGUUCUGAUUCAACAGAAGUGAAAACGUUUCUGCUCUCUUUAAGGUUUAAACAAUAUUAGUUUGCUGAACUCUGCAGGACCUUCACUUCUGGCUCAGCGACAGAAAAAAGAAUGAAAACUAAUUUACUUUAUCAACAAUAUUCAAACUGACUCUUUUUAGAAAAGUUGUGAUGCUGUUCUUAAACUUUAAAGAUCUAAAAAUUUCAACAAAUAAUAAUAAUUCAACAAAUAUUUCACAUGAAUACAUAAAGUAUCUCAGUCCCUUCCUCAGAUAAUCCUCCUCCAGGUGACUCCCACACACUCCUCCUCAGCAUCUGAGCUACACAUAUAAAGGCCUUACCACACACACACACACACACACCCACCCACACACACACACACACACGCAGAGCAUGACCUCUGCAUUGUGACAACGCUCUGAGUCAUCAGCCUUCGGUAGCAGAUGGACGUGGAGCAGAGGACUGAAUCUUGCAACGAUGCAAAACAGGAAAACAUCAAGACACUUUAGCAACAAUUAAGAUGAUUUUAAUACUAAAUGCAAUCAUGAAAAUACAACACAGACAUUUAAACAGAGCAAAGCUCGACAGGAAACAGACAAAAUAUUUACAGUGCAAUGAUUAAACUAUUCAGAAAUAAUGAUAAAAACCUGGUUAUUAGUGUUGCUUUGAUUCUUUUGAGAAAUCCUUUAAUCUCCAUGGCAACCAUUCUGUUUGCAGAAACAUUUCUCCAACCGAGCCUCACAGACCCAUUCAGCUCCUCUAGACUAGCGGCAGCAGCAGUUAGCAAACACCUGGUGGAAGUAUGACUCAUUUUACAAACUACUUUUCAGUUUCUACAUUCCCAUUAAAAAUGUGUGCAAAAUUAUGCAAUUAUUCUGCUCAUUGUUGCAUCAAAUUAGAAAAGCAAUUAAAAUCACUCGUGAAUAAGUUUGUUCAUGUGAUGUCAUUGAGAAACCUGCAGCGCUGUCAUCCUCCUCCCACUUCCUGUUGUCUUCUUCAUCGUCUCUGCCAGUAGUAACAAGCAGUUGUUGAUCACAUGACUUGUGGCAGUUUUGCAAAAUAGAAUAAUUUAAUGCAGCUGAAAAAAUCAACCUCAUUUUAGCGCAAAAAUGUUUUAAUUAGAUUUUUUUUUAGUUUGAAAUUGUCGACUUUCCAUUAAGCAAAUUUGUUUUCAUAACUCCAAUUUGUGCGAUUGUGUGGUCAAUCAAAACUGUGGUAAAAAAAAUUAUGACUUCCUGAAGGUGGAGUCUCUGACAGAACAGGAGCUUCUUAAAGAGACAGAGGCCCAAUUUCAAGUCAAAUUUCUUUUAAGUCAAUUAUAUGUAUAUUUUUCAUAACAACUGAAGGUAACAUAGUUACUUGAUUGUGCUAUGAAGUGGCACUAUAUGCCUGGAAAUAAAUGAUACUGCACCUUUAAUAUCUAUUUCCACCCCACUAAUCAGAACGUCUCCAACCAGAUGGGAUGUUUCCACCAAACUCAAACCCUGAGCAGCUUUUAGUUGUUUUUAUUGUGCAGAACUUGCUGCGGUUCACCUAGCAUACCCUGACUCGUGUUGUCUGCCUCGGCAGCCAGCAGGGCCGGACGCCGGCCUUUUCCUGCCGUAACGUUUCACUUCGUCUUUCAGGUGAAGUGGAAAUGGGAAGGAGUUGGCCGCUGAUUGGAAACACCUGGUCGUUCUUGUUUACACCUGGCUGCUGCUCUUACUGGGUUUGUCCUCGUUUUCCCGUCAGCAGACAUGACAGGUUCUUAGUUUGGUUUAUUUGCAUCAAACCAUAAAACACUUCUACAUUCACUUUUCUAUAUUAGUUAUUUAUUUAGUCUUCAGUAUAUUUAGUAAAAAAAACACUUAAAUUUCUGUGACUCCUCCUUUUGUGAGGCAGGUUUUAGUAAAUCUAAGGGUUUUAAGUACCUGAACAAAACCUAACAUCCAGGUGGAACUGAGGAAGCUUUCUAAUCCGACCUGAGAUUUAUGUGCUACUAUCGGCAGUAAAUAUUAGUUCACACUCAUCAUCUUAUCUGGGUCAGAAAACAAUACGUGGAAAGCAUGAAGCAUAAAUAAAUCACAGCCUGCUUUUCUGCAUACUGUCAAAACAAGGACAGCCUUUUGAGAUGCAGCUUUCUGACAAACUUUCUAGUUUAUGAAUUAAAAACUGAUUAUUUUAAAUAUAAAAUGCCUCUUAUGGUAAUAUGUUGACCUUUGUGUAACUAGAAAAAUAAGACGGAGUACUUUUGAUAAUUUAUACCACAAUAAAUGACAAAGAGGAUAGAUUUUUUUUAUUAAAAAAAGUCUGUCGUUUGUGAGCAUAAAGUUUACCAAUGUGGUUUCCUGCUGAUUUUUUAUGUUUUCUUUAAUUGAGGAACAUCUACUGAUGUCAGCAGAUUAAGCAAAUCAGUUGCAGCUACAUCCAAAUAUCCUUCUGUAUGUUUUCUCACUAUAAUUAGCCUCAACUGAAGCAUUUUUUUCUUUUAAACCCAUCAGAGUAACAAUGCUGGUCAGAAGUGGAGCAGCAAUUAUAUCAAAUGUCUAAAUACUGCCUGAAUCUAUGUGAGGAAUUACACUGCUGCAACUCAACAUUUCUCCUGUCUUUCUGUUUCUGACUGGAUAAGCCACUAAAUAAAUCUUCAGUUUGUAAAUUUACACUGCAGCUGGAGACUUUGCUGUCAUCUUUUCCUUCCUACGUGAUUUUUCUUUUUAAAUUGACAACUGUGUUUCAGUUUUUUGUUUUGUUUUUUACAUAUCUUUCAACAUAAAGAUUAAUAUAUCUAUAAUAAGAUAAAGGAAGCCUGACCUGGCAGGGAAAAGUUGAAAAGAAUUGUAAAAAACGAGUUUACUGCACCGAAUUGUGGUGUUAUUAAAGCCAUUUCCUGCCAGAGCUGAACUGAGCUGUGCAUGUUAGCUUUGCAACUUUUUGGACACUUAAAUUCAUAAAACCGUUUAAUCUUGGACUCAGAUGUUGUGCAGAACGUUUGUUAACUCCAGACCUGUGCAGCGUCACCUCAUUAGCUGAGCGGUGCCGUUUCUCAUGUUGGACUGAGACGGUUUGUUUCCAAUUGGCUGCAGAAACGGUUCAGCUCAGGCUGCUGCAGAGUUUAAUCAGCAUGUUAAUGUGGGGAUGAGAUGAGAGCCACUCAUCAGCUCAGCACAGACAUUAAGAACAACACAGGUUAUUCAUUGAAGUGAGAAAAGCUUCUCACCUGCCCAACUGGGUGUGUUUGAGUCAGAACAGCUCAGGAUCUCUGUGUUCUCCCUGAAUAAAAGGCUUUUUUAUUCUGAUGUUCUGAUUAGCCGCCGCCCUCCAGCUGGAAGUGGUUUCACAGUGACUCACCGGCGAUGGCUCGCAUUUCUGCAGCCGCCGGGAAAAGGUGUUCAGGCUUUACAAGUCGAGCUGGACUGAACCGGGAUAAAUUAUGUAGGACGGUUUCGGUUCUGCAGACAUUUGGGCUCAACAAAGAGAGCGUGAAGCAAACAGGAAUGUUAAAUAUGUGGCGUCUGCAGAAAGGAAACGGCUGCUGCUCCCAGAUGACCUUGUUCCUGCGCAGUAGGAACAUGUACAGGCAUGCCUUUACAGAACAGAGAGUCCAAAAUAAAAGAUCUGUUGGCAACGGCUGGAAUGUGCAGAACAACAUGCAGGAAUGAAGCCGUCACCUUUUGCUUUUACUUACAUUUCCUGACCUGUUUGCACAUUCCUGUUCUCACUGAUAGACAUGAUUUCACUGUUGUUGUUUAUUUGAUAGCUGAUUAUUACGACCGCGCCCUGCAGCCACUGAAGAAAUUUUUAGACUAAUCUCCAAAUCCCCCCCCCCCCCAAAAAAACAUGGAGAUUU